AGUGAACGCUGGCGGUAGGCCUAACACAUGCAAGUCGAACGGCAGCACAGUAAGAGCUUGCUCUUACGGGUGGCGAGUGGCGGACGGGUGAGGAAUACAUCGGAAUCUACUUUUUCGGGGGGGAUAACGUAGGGAAACUUACGCUAAUACAGCAUACGCCCUACGGGUGAAAGCAGGGGAUCUUCGGACCUUGCGCGAUUGAAUGAGCCGAUGUCGGGUUAGCUAGUUGGCGGGGUAGAGGCCCACCAAGGCGACGAUCCGUAGCUGGUCUGAGAGGAUGAUCAGCCACCCUGGAACUGAGACACGGUCCCGACUCCUACGGGAGGCAGCAGUGGGGAAUAUUGGACAAUGGGCGCAAGCCUGAUCCAGCCAUACCGCGUGGGGGAAGAAGGCCCUCGGGUUGUAAAGCCCUUUUGUUGGGAAAGAAAAGCAGCAGGUUAAUACCCCGCUGUUCUGACGGUACCCAAAGAAUAAGCACCGGCUAACUUCGUG
rnacentral:rRNA from 1 species